rnacentral:lncRNA from 1 species
GACCCUAUGGCUGAACUGGAGCAGCUAUUGGGCAGCGCCAGUGAUUACAUCCAGUCAGUAUUCAAGCGGCCUGAGGCCCUUCCCACCAAGCCCAAGGUCAAGGUUGAGGCCCCCCCUUCCUCCCCUGCUCCAGCACCAUCUCCUAUUUCCCAGAGGGAGGCUCCCCUGCCAUCUUCAGAGCCCGACACCCACCAGAAGGCCCAGACAGCGCUUCAGCAACACCUUCAUCACAAGCGCAACCUAUUCUUGGAACAGGCCCAUGAUGCCUCCUUCCCUACUUCCACAGAGCCUCAGGCUCCUGGUUGGUGGGCCCCACCAGGCUCACCUGCCCCACGGCCUCCUGACAAACCACCCAAGGAAAAGAAAAAGAAGCC